rnacentral:lncRNA from 10 species
CAAGGAUUGCGAUAUAAACCCAGGCCUUCCAGCAGGCAAUGGCAACCCCCUUUGGGUCCCCUCCCUUUAUAUGGGAGCUCUGUUUUCACCCUAUUAAAUCUUGCAACUGCACUUUUCUGGUCCAUGUUUGUUACAGCUUGAGCUGAGCUUUCGCUCGCCAUCCACCACUGCUGUUUGCCGUUGUGCCGGACCCGCCACUGACUUCUAUCCCUCCGGAUCCGGCAGGGUGUCUGCUGUGCUCCUGAUCCAGCGAGGCGCCCAUUGCUGCUCCCGAUCAGGCUAAAGGCUUGCCAUUGUUCCUGCACGGCUAAGUGCCUGGGUUCGUCCUAAUCGAGCUGAACACUAGUUACUGGGUUCCAUGGUUCUCUUCUGUGAUCCAUGGCUUCUAAUAGAGGUAUAACACUCACCUGGCAUGGCCCAGGAUUCCAUUCCUUGGGAUCCGUGAGGCCAAGAACCCCAGGUCAGAGAACACGAGGCUUGCCACCAUCUUGGAAGCGGCCCACCACCAUCUUGGAAGCUGCUAGCCACCAUCUUGGAAGUUCUGUGAACAAGGACCCCCGGUAACAUUUUGGCGACCACGAAGGGACCUCCAAAGUGACAGAUGGAGGCUCUCUCUCUGUGCAACUGGGGGUGUGGUGAUGCAAAUAUCCUUCUGGCCACCGCCACUGGGGCCGUGCUGGGUCAGACCUGAAGGCAGCACAGCACUGGAUUUCACCUGAGGCCCUCUAUAAUCACUACCCGGCUGCCACCUAUGUUCACUCAAGACCCUAUGUUCAUUCAACGGCUCUAUAAUCAGCAGAUGGCAAAUCCAGCCAGGUUCAUGUGCUUCCCUUCAGGAUGUGUGGAAAUGGGCACCUUUGACUGAACCAUGUUUCUUGCUCGGUAUUGAAAAAUGACCUCAUUCCUUUACAUUUUGGUUAUUUCUACAUCAGAACACGAGAAGGCAGAUAUUUUUCUAAAAUGGUAAUUUCAUUUCCUUUGGGAUUGACCAGAAGAGGAAUUGCUGAGUCAUAAGUUCCUAGGCAGAUCCACUUGCAGAGAUUGGAGUGAUGGCCACAGUGGAAGCAAGGCAGCUUGCAGGCACCUAAAACUCAGAAAACAGAUCCCCACCAAGUGGAUCUGCCAGCACAGCAGGUAGGCUUCAGACAAGGAGGAACUGCAGACUGACCUCUGACCACCACUCCUUGUUAUAAAUUUCUUCCUCCCAGGCCUGGAGAAACUCACCCCCACAAGCCAGAGCUAACAUUCUUCUUUGCAGACCCCAAAUUUUUAAAUCAAGCUUUUCUUCCUUAACCUUUUGUAUAUCAGAAAAUCUUUUAAUCUACCUGUGACCUAUAAGACCCCUCUUCAAGACAUCCCACACUUUUAGGCCAGCACCACUGUGUAACCUCCAUGUAUUGAUUUUAAGUUUUUCCUGUAACUUCUGCUUUCCUGAAAUCUACCCAUGACUUUACCCCUUAUCUGCAAGCCACUGGGGAGGUUGGGACAUAAGUGUAAGCUGCCUGAUUCUCCUUGCUUGGUGCCCUGCAAAUAUAUGCUUUCCUUUUUCCUGCUGCAAAGGUCAGCGUGGAUAUCUGGUCUUACUGCACCAAGUAAGUGGACCCCUGUUCACUUCCAUAACACAUUCUCACCACCAGCCAGGGGCAAGGAGAGUUAAUCAAGUGCAGCCCACUUAGUUUUCAGAAGAGAAGACUGAAGCCCAACAGGUUUUUACCCCAUCAGCUUUCUCUGCCACCUAGAUUGUGAAUACUAUUUACUAUCACUUGUUUUCUGGGCUUAGAAGCGUGACAACCCAACUUUAAAUCUAAUUCCUAUGUCCCACAUCAACUUUCUAUCUUCUUCUAUUUCUCAGAAACUUCUCUUAUAUUUGUGUGUAAACCAGAAAUAAAAUUCUAAGACCCCUCAACUGACUGAACAGAUCCCCCUUUUGGCCAAGGGCAUUCCAAAGUAAACCUGAAAAACAAGUGCAGUUCAUGAUGGGAAGGGGGAAUCGGACAUGUCUCAUUAUGCCUUCCUCCCUUUGGAAUUCAGGCACAACUGACCAGCAUUAAGAUUAAGACAGAUAUCUUAAGACUGACAAAACACUUUGUAACAAUAAGAUAUCAAGUUCCAACCUGACUAUAGUAUAGCAUCACAUGACAGAUAGCAGGCCUUGAAAGAAAUGAAAAUAUUUUACCCUAAGAUAUAUUUCUUUGACAUAUUUUGAAAUACCCUGCUAAGAUACCUCUUGUGGGGAAAAUGUGCAUUCUAAAGAGAAUCAUUUUCCCUUUACAAGUUUUUCCUUGAUCCAGGAGAGAUUAAAUAAGAGACUGACACAUUUUUGGAUCUGAUUAGAGACAUUUACUAUCUGUCCUUUCUGAAGGCUACUACCUGGAGGGUUCCUCUGCAAGCCAUUGGGGAUGCAUAAUAAGAACUUUGAUCUCCACAACUCCUUAACUCAACCCAGAUACUCCUUUCUAUUGAUUACAGUUCUUCAAUAAUAAUUUAACUCUUUCAACCAAUUGCCCGUCAGAAAAUCUUUGAAUCCACUUGUGAUCUGGAAACCCCCAUUUUGAGUUGUCCUGCUUUGCCAGACUGAACAAAUGUAUACCUUAUGUGUAUUGAUUGAUGGCUGCUUAUAGCCUCUGACCCCCUAAAAUGUAUAAAAUCUAGCUGUAACCCAACCAUCUUUGGAACAUGUUCUCAGGACUUCCUGGGGCUGUGUCACAGGCAUUGGUCACUCAUAUUUGGCUUCUGAAAAUACGUAAACCUCUUUAAAUAUUUUACAGAGUUUAGCUCUUUUUAUGACAUGUAUAUUUAUUUCUCAGAAAGAUCCCCAACCUUAUUUUUCACCUUGAUUAGAGGGCUGAGGUGGAAUAGGUGGAAAGCUUGUCUGGGGUGUGGAAUUUGGGAGCAUAUUGCAAUGUUCAGUGAUUAAUACUAUUUAGAAGAACAAUUUUUGAAAUAAAAAUUAAUUGCAAAACAUGACGGUAAAAUAGAAAACAGUUAAACAAAAGUAAAAACCAAUUAACAGUGCUUUGUGAAGCAAUAUUAAAAACUGAGGCAAAAUAAUAAUAAUCAAUUAUAUUUGCCUUAUUUUUAUUUGGAAUUUGGAUGGUUUGUUCCUCAUGGAUUUUUCUCUUUUUUGGCAUCAAUUUAGUGUAUUAAACGUUGCAAAUAAAUGGUGCAUGGAAAUGUUCUUUUGAUCGAUGAAUUUUUUGGUGACCCCUUGGAUUUUAGAGCUCAGAAAAAGUGCAUCUCUUGUCUUAACCUGAUCCUGACCCUGAGUACUGCACCUCCUAAGUGGAGACUUAUGGAAACAGCAAGAGGCUCCUGACCAUGAUGAGAAACAGGUUAAAUCAUUUGGAAAUGAGAGCAUGGACAGAAUGAACAAUGUUUUGAGUGAGAGAAGGGGAAAGAUUUAAUUCUUUCUUACAAAAAUGUAUGAAAUUUUUCCUUUAUUGGCUAGCACUAGACAUUUUCUGAAAGGAGGGAUUAAAUUUUAUUGAAGACCACUUUUUUUAAAUAAACUACUUAAUGUGAAGAUAAAACUCUGAAUAUCUACAUUAUUAGUAACCAUGAUGAUUUUCUUAAAAAGACAAUUAAACAGGUUUUUCAAUCAGAAAUACAAAAUAAUAGAGGAGGAAAAAUCUGAUAAGAGAACAGGAGAGGCAUCAUUUUGGGAACAGGAAUUGCCAAUGCCUACGUUGUUUGCAUAUGAAAUGUAGAUUCUUCCAUCUUCCUAAACUUUCCAGUGAAGUCCACAUAAAUGCCUAUGUGAGUAGGUUUUGUCUUAUUUUUGUGUUGUGCAAAUUAGAAAAGGGUACAUAUUUUCUGCCAGUGACAAUAACAGCAAGAAAAUGAGAGAAUUCCUCAAUUGAACUAAUUCAGCAAAAGCAAGAGCUCCAAGUCAGAGAAGGAUAUGAUAAUACUGGUUCGUUUAGAGUUCUCAGGAAUCUCAUAAAAGGCCUUGGGCUUUCCAAUAUUUUAAAAAGUUGAAUCCAUUCUUCCCUGACUCAAGGUCUCUGUGGCUACAGCUGAUGUGUAGUCAAGCCAUUACCAUGGCUUCUCAGCAUAAAUAGAAAAUACUAACACUUUAUGGUCUCAAAAUUUUGUAGACUCUGAACUUUCUUGUAUGUGAUUAUGCAGAAUUUCUUAAAUGUUUCUUAAUCAGCCAGUAAAAUAGUCACCUUUCUUCCAAAGUUAAGAAAAGUUACCAAAACUUGGCAAUAAGAAAUAAGGCAAUUAAGUAAGUGGCAUGUCUUUUCAAUGUCAUAUGGGGAAAAAAGCCCACUUAAGGACUGUCUAAGAUAAUGCACUUUCUUCUACUCAUUGUUUACUCUUCUUCAGAAUUCCUGAACUUAAAGAAGUUACAUGUAAGUAGUUGGAUUUUUGUUCAUUUUGUAAAAACACAAAAACAGUCUGUCUGGCAGAAAGAAAGAUAACAACAAAGUUUACAAUUUAGUGAACUGGAAGAUAUUAGUUACUCUCUUCAAUCUUGUUGAAUUGGUCUAAACAUCUUUUUGUUUUUUUCAUUAAUUAAUGAAUUAAAUAAAACUUUUGACAUAUGUUCAUUACAAAAACAAUUAAAAAUUAUUUGUUGAACUCAAUAUCUGAAUUAGCUUAAAAUCAGAAUGGAGAUGACAGGGAGGAAUUAGCAAUCUUAAAGAUGGAUCAGUAGAAAUUAUCCAAGCUGAACAACAGACAGAGGAA